rnacentral:misc_RNA from 1 species
AAGUCGUAACAAGGUUUCCGUAGGUGAACCUGCGGAAGGAUCAUUAAUGAAUUUAAACGCAAGGUUGUCGCUGGUCUAUUCGGCAUGUGCACGCCUUGUAAAUUCAUCCAUACACCUCUUGUGCACUUUUCAUAGAUUGACGUUACGGUGGAUUGCCUAUGGUGAUCUGCUGGUCUCUCUGUGUAUUUUUACAAACUUCAGUAUAUGAAUGUAUACCUGCGAUAAAACGCAAUUAAAUAUAACUUUCAGCAACGGAUCUCUUGGCUCUC